UACGUAGGGUGCGAGCGUUAAUCGGAAUUACUGGGCGUAAAGCGUGCGCAGGCGGUUAUUUAAGUCAGGUGUGAAAGCCCUGGGCUUAACCUAGGAACUGCAUUUGGGACUGCAAGGCUGGAGUACGGCAGAGGGAGGUGGAAUUCCACGUGUAGCAGUGAAAUGCGUAGAGAUGUGGAGGAACACCGAUGGCGAAGGCAGCCUCCUGGGCUAGUACUGACGCUCAUGCACGAAAGCGUGGGGAGCAAACAGG
rnacentral:rRNA from 1 species